rnacentral:rRNA from 1 species
UACAGAGACUGCGAGCGUUAUUCGGAUUCACUGGGCGUAAAGGGCGCGCAGGCGGCCGAGCACGUCCGUUGUGAAAUCGCCUGGCUCAACUGGGCGGGGUCAGCGGAUACGGCUAGGCUGGAGCAAGCUAGGGGGCAAUGGAAUUCCCGGUGUAGUGGUGGAAUGCGUAGAUAUCGGGAGGAACACCAGUGGCGAAGGCGGUUGCCUGGAGCUUUGCUGACGCUGAGGCGCGAAAGCGUGGGGAGCGAUCCGG